GAUGAACGCUGGCGGCGUGCCUAAUACAUGCAAGUCGAGCGAACAGACGAGGAGCUUGCUCCUCUGACGUUAGCGGCGGACGGGUGAGUAACACGUGGAUAACCUACCUAUAAGACUGGGAUAACUUCGGGAAACCGGAGCUAAUACCGGAUAACAUGUUGAACCGCAUGGUUCAACAGUGAAAGACGGUCUUGCUGUCACUUAUAGAUGGAUCCGCGCCGCAUUAGCUAGUUGGUAAGGUAACGGCUUACCAAGGCAACGAUGCGUAGCCGACCUGAGAGGGCGAUCGGCCACACUGGAACUGAGACACGGUCCAGACUCCUACGGGAGGCAGCAGUAGGGAAUCUUCCGCAAUGGGCGAAAUCCUGACGGAGCAACGCCGCGUGAGUGAAGAAGGUCUUCGGAUCGUAAAACUCUGUUAUUAGGGAAGAACAAAUGUGUAAGUAACUAUGCACGUCUUGACGGUACCUAAUCAGAAAGCCACGGCUAACUACGUG
rnacentral:rRNA from 1 species